rnacentral:lncRNA from 1 species
CCUGCUUGUGGUCUCACAUUGUACCUCACUAUAGCAUAGAGCUUCCAGGUCCACAUGGAAUAAUGAUGGCAUAGCAACUGCCUUGUGCCUCCCAGAGUCAGAACCCGAUGGGCAUGAUGACUCCGUUGCUGAAAUUUCUGUGACUAGGUCACCUGGGAAGGAAGAGGCUUUCUCUAGGGCCCAGCAUAACACCUGCUCUGUUUCAUCACAACACUCAAGCCAUGCUACUUUUCUACCCAUAAGAACUGCCUUUUCCAAGCUGCCGGGCUGUCCAGUGAAAAAGAAGGCUCAAUGUCUUUUCAGCCCAACACACAGCACUGAGCUAGAGUUACUCUGCUGGUCUCCACUAUCUCCUGGCCUAUUUCCAGCUUUAAAACUUCUCAAAAUCAAAACUGCUUUCCAUAUUUAUUUUUUCAGUUCCAUAGAUAAUCCAUUUGAUUUUUGUUUACCCCGAUUAUCCCAAAUUGGAUGGUCUCAGAUGUGUUGAAAAAACUGUCUCUAGGCAAGGCCACAAGGUGGGGCAGUAAUAAGGAAUUGAAGGACUUGCGGUCUCUUCUGAAGUCUAAAUGAUAUUUUCUAGAACAUGCUAAA